UACAGAGGUCUCAAGCGUUGUUCGGAUUCAUUGGGCGUAAAGGGUGUGUAGGUGGCGCGCUAAGUCGGGUGUGAAAUUUCGGAGCUUAACUCCGAAACUGCAUUCGAUACUGGCGUGCUUGAGGACUGGAGAGGAGACUGGAAUUCGAUGGUGUAGCAGUGAAAUGCGUAGAGAUCAUGAGGAAGACCAGUGGCGAAGGCGGGUCUCUGGACAGUUCCUGACACUGAGACACGAAGGCCAGGGGAGCAAACGGG
rnacentral:rRNA from 1 species